rnacentral:rRNA from 1 species
GUCCACGCCGUAAACGAUGAUAACUAGAUGUUGGUCAGCUUAGACUGUUCAGUAUCGAAGCUAACGCGAUAAGUUAUCCGCCUGGGGAGUACGGUCGCAAGAUUAAAACUCAAAGGAAUUGACGGGGGCCCCGCACAAGCGGUGGAGCAUGUGGUUUAAUUCGAUGCAACGCGAAGAACCUUACCUACCCUUGACAUCCAGAGAAUCCUGCAGAGAUGCGGGAGUGCCGAAAGGAAUUAUGAGACAGGUGCUGCAUGGCUGUCGU